rnacentral:rRNA from 1 species
AGCGAACGCUGGCGGCGUACUUAACACAUGCAAGUCGAACGGGGAUCGUCGGGUUAGCAAUAAUUCGGCGGUCCUAGUGGCGUACGGGUGAGUAACACGUGGGCAACUUGCCCUUGAGACCGGGAUACCCUCUCGAAAGGGAGGCUAAUACUGGAUACGUUCUUCGGAUCGCAAGAUCUGGAGAGGAAAGGUGGCGCAAGCUACCGCUCUUGGAGAGGCUCGCGGCCUAUCAGCAGUUGGUGAGGUAAUGGCUCACCAAGGCUAUGACGGGUAGCUGGUCUGAGAGGACGACCAGCCACACGGGAACUGAGACACGGUCCCGACUCCUACGGGAGGCAGCAGUGGGGAAUUUUCCGCAAUGGGCGAAAGCCUGACGGAGUGACGCCGCGUGGGGGACGAAGGCC